rnacentral:lncRNA from 1 species
CUUUUUGUAUCAGGGGAGGAGAGAACGGCGUCCUUCUUUAAAAGUAACCAAAUGCAGAAAACUUCCACUUUUUUCGGCCUUGAGAUUUUGAGGGAUAACUGCGAGUACACGAAACCGGUCAACCACCGUUUUCUGUGUGCACAUACGCCGAGCGGACGGUGGAGUCCUGUUCCUUCCGGCAUGGACCUGCACUCUUUUGCACUUCUCGUCCUCGACAAGCACCCUAUUUUCUCACUUCAGUGCCCAAAAGUUCGCUUUUCCGUCCACUUCACCUCAACCAUUUUCGCUUUAGUAUGGAACAACACGAACGAGUGUUCAGUCCUCAUGCUCGCGCAAGUCUCCGGUCCGACGAGCCGGGCAUCGACGCCGUUAGAAUGUCGAUAUAUCAGCACUGUGUGUCGUGGAACUGAAUCCACAGACUCUGAUUUCUAUCGGUUCCGCCUACCGCGUGGGUCGGUGUGCAACACACGGGAACAGCCAAAAGGAGCGCUGCUUCUUCCACCAGGCUCCCGCCUGACCCAAGAGGGAGAAAAGGUAGCUUCCCUUGAUUCGAGUGCGAGACUCGCGAUGGCGACAAGCAGAAGGCUGUGGAAACCUGGCUCUCGAUCCUAUGUUAUGUUGUGUCCGGUUCGUACAAGAAACGUAGAUAUGUUAGCUCUGCCUCUCACAAACACUUGACCCGGAUUUCGGUUUUCCCCCCGUCAUCCUUGUGUGCUCCCGCCUCCAAUGAGUAAUCGCAAUCGGUUAAGGUCUUACGUCGGUUCUGAUAUUUCCAGCGAGAUCCAUCGGAAAGCCUUAGAGUUAGAAGCGAGUGUUGUUUUCCUGCUCACAGCCUGGAUUGCCACGUUUUUUGUCGUACGAGCUACUGCCGGCUGCGGCACAGGAAAGUAAUCCUAAAUCUUGUUCCUUUGAGAAUCGAUGCUCAACUGAUGUGAUAAUGCUCGCCACAAUGUUAGCACUUGAUGCGUCUUUUGCCGCCCCCCCUUGGUCAGCUUUCAAAAUUGUAAUGCUUUGUGGGCUGUGUGCCCUUCUGAUGUAGGUUAAGUGUUGGUAGAUACAAACCGCUGAACAACAGUAAUCCGUAGUUGUUCACACCAAUUACUCUCUCAAACCCGUUUAUGUCUCAUCUCCUUUCAGCAGAACGUCCUCUCGUCUUUUGUGACCGCUGUGUAGCUUCCUUAAGCAGCUACCUGCACCCUCUAGGCCUCCCGUCUUUUAGUGGGCCUCCGUGAAAUCGCCCUUUUCUUGCGACUUCUGUGUCGCUUGCCCGAAAAGCCGGGAUGGUCUACAAACGUUUUUCUUGUUCUAAAACAGUCCUUGCAUAUCCGUAUUGCUAUGCGUUUGCGGGGGUCCUUUGCUUCUUCUGCUCGCUUGCUACCAUGUGGAAGUCUCCAGCGGAUAAAAACUGACUUACAGUCGCAUUCUUCCCCAGACUGUGCUGAGCUGUCAUACCCUAAACAGCCUCGCAUCAUUCUUUCUGUACAGCUGGUCACAGAACUCGUACAUUUUGUGUAACAUUGUGUGAGUUUUCGAGGGCUGCCCCAUCAGCAGUGAAAACGUAUACAGUGAUGUGUGGGCACGCCUCACGCAGUCUCGCAAUGGAAAUUGAGUGUCUGUCUUCUCCGACACUGUACCUUUAAAAAAGAGAGGCAUAGCAAUGCACUGCUUGCAGCUGAUCUCCAUUGAUUCGUCCUCUCUCGGAUUCUCUUCCAUGUAUGAGAUGUAGAAAGCGCACUGUACUAAUCGUGUCGCGAGUCCCCGCAGUCGCUUGAUUCACGGUGAUGCUACACGCAUUUUGCACUUCGUCCUCUGUGAUAAGCACCCAUGGAGCAAAGCAUCUUUUCUUUGCUUACUUUUCCGAAGAAAGAAAGUUGAUGUCAAGAAAUUUCUUUGUUAAGCGCCCCUGCUAGCCGUGUCGUGGUAUACUGGGAAUACGGUGUCCCCAGUGCUUUUUCCCGACGUGCUUAUCUGCGAAGAAG